GCAGUCGUGGCCGAGUGGUUAAGGCGAUGGUCUAGAAAUCCAUUGGGGUCUCCCCGCACAGGUUUGAAUCCUGUCGACUGCG
rnacentral:tRNA from 2 species